rnacentral:rRNA from 1 species
UGGGGAAUAUUGCACAAUGGGCGAAAGCCUGAUGCAGCAACGCCGCGUGAGUGAUGAAGGCCUUCGGGUUGUAAAGCUCUGUCUUUUGGGACGAUAAUGACGGUACCAAAGGAGGAAGCCACGGCUAACUACGUGCCAGCAGCCGCGGUAAUACGUAGGUGGCAAGCGUUGUCCGGAUUUACUGGGCGUAAAGGAUGCGUAGGCGGAUUUUUAAGUGAGAUGUGAAAACCCUAAGCUUAACUUGGGGACUGCAUUUCAUACUGGAAAUCUAGAGUGCGGGAGAGGAGAAUGGAAUUCCUAGUGUAGCGGUGAAAUGCGUAGAGAUUAGGAAGAACACCAGUGGCGAAGGCGAUUCUCUGGACCGUAACUGACGCUGAGGCAUGAAAGCGUGGGUAGCAAACAGGAUUAGAUACCCUGGUAGUCCACGCCGUAAAACGAUGAGUACUAGGUGUAGGAGGUAUCGACCCCUUCUGUGCCGCAGUUAACACAAUAAGUACUCCGCCUGGGAAGUACGAUCGCAAGAUUAAAAAC